GAUGAACGCUGGCGGCGUGCCUAAUACAUGCAAGUCGAGCGAACAGACGAGAGUGCUUGCACUCUCUGACGUUAGCGGCGGACGGGUGAGUAACACGUGGGUAACCUACCUAUAAGACUGGGAUAACUUCGGGAAACCGGAGCUAAUACCGGAUAAUAUUUAGCUUCGCAUGAAGCAAUAGUGAAAGACGGUUCUGCUGUCACUUAUAGAUGGACCCGCGGUGUAUUAGCUAGUUGGUGAGGUAACGGCUCACCAAGGCAACGAUACAUAGCCGACCUGAGAGGGUGAUAGGCCACACUGGGACUGAGACACGGCCCAGACUCCUACGGGAGGCAGCAGUAGGGAAUCUUCCGCAAUGGACGAAAGUCUGACGGAGCAAUGCCGCGUGAGUGAAGAAGGUUUUCGGAUCGUAAAACUCUGUUGUAAGGGAAGAACAAGUACGUUAGUAACUGAACGUACCUUGACGGUACCUUACCAGAAAGCCACGGCUAACUACGUG
rnacentral:rRNA from 1 species